AGCAGCAUCAUCGCCAUCACCAUCAAAUCCUUGUGACAAGGUGAUGGGGUGACCUCUAGGACCCAGAAAGAUGCCAGUGCACGCUACUGCUCAGCAAAUGCGAGCUCCGAGGCCGCCGGGCUCUCGCAAGCCUUCCACGUCUCUUUGUCACACACUGUCACAGCACGUUCGCCCGAAUCCUGUUUUCUUUGUACAAACACCACCGCUUCACUUGUUUUUUCUUCUCUAACUUCAUAAUGAGGCCAUGCUUUGUGAUGGCAAAUCGAAUCCAAAGCAGAGAGCAGCCGCCCGCAGCUGUACACUGGGUCCCCCGUGGACCAUCUUUGCCCUUGACCCAGGACCCUUUCCUGCUCCAGGUGAGUCUGCGUCCCCAGGCUGCCUCGUUGGACUCUGCCUCGUGUCACCGUGCAGGACGUCCCGGAGCCGCUCUACCACCACCACCCUCGACCCUGAUGUUUGGUUUGGUUUUAGUUGCAAAGUCUUUAAUGAUACUGUUUGCAUUUUUUACAUGCAUUAUUUCACACCUGUGGUUAAUUCACAAUUAUCUCAAUACUUGCAAAGGCAUCUGCUCGGGGCUUACUUGUGAUGUGUGAAUUGAAACUAAUAAAAUCAAGGAAGAGCAACGCA